AUGCCAUAUCCAUAUUAUACUUGAUCACUAGGUGAUCAAGUAUAAUAUUGUUCACCUAGUGAUCAAGUAUAAUAUGGAUAUGGCAU
rnacentral:pre_miRNA from 1 species